AAUUAUACACUUAAGGGCAUUUUUGUCAUUUCCUUAAAUUUCUAGAAAAUUACCUUAGGGUUUAGGGUUUAGACAUUUUAGUGUUUAGGGUUUGAGCCAAUUUGGGUAAACAAAAAUCUAGGAUUUCUAAUUUAGGGUUUGCACACAAAAAUUAAAUAAAUAAAAUUAAAUAACUUUUAGUUUCUAAAAUUUUGCAAAAUAAAUUUGUUAAUUAAUUAAGUUUGUAAUUACAUGAACAUUAGGGUUUAUUACCCUUAAUCAUAACGAACUUUGCUAAUAAAGCAAUUAGGGUUUAAAACAUCGAUCAUUACGGUUUCUAGAAAUACAAUUAGGGUUUCUAGAAAUUAAAUUAGGGUUCUAGGUUUUAGGGUUUUAAUUUACUAAUUACGUUUAUUUUAAUUAGCAAUUAAAGUCCAACACACGUGUUAUUAAUCACUGUAACACAACUCUUGACAGAUCAAACCUCCAUUUUAGGUUUUCCGGAUUAGGGUUUCUAAUAUUGGAAAUUAGG
rnacentral:lncRNA from 1 species